rnacentral:rRNA from 1 species
CCUUGACAUACUAAGAACUUACCAGAGAUGGAUUGGUGCCUUCGGGAACUUAGAUACAGGUGCUGCAUGGCUGUCGUCAGCUCGUGUCGUGAGAUGUUGGGUUAAGUCCCGNAACGAGCGCAACCCUUUUCCUUAUUUGCCAGCGGGUCAUGCCGGGAACUUUAAGGAUACUGCCAGUGACAAACUGGAGGAAGGCGGGGACGACGUCAAGUCAUCAUGGCCCUUACGGCCAGGGCUACACACGUGCUACAAUGGUCGGUACAAAGGGUUGCUACCUCGCGAGAGGAUGCUAAUCUCAAAAAGCCGAUCGUAGUCCGGAUCGCAGUCUGCAACUCGACUGCGUGAAGUCGGAAUCGCUAGUAAUCGCGGAUCAGAAUGCCGCGGUGAAUACGUUCCCGGGCCUUGUACACACCGCCCGUCACACCAUGGGAGUUUGUUGCACCAGAAGUAGGUAGUCUAACCGCAAGGAGGACGCUUACCACGGUGUGGCCGAUGACUGGGGUGAAGUCGUAACAAGGUAAGCGUAGAUGA